UUAACCGAGCGAGUGUGUCUGUGUGUUUCUGCUGAAGCCCCGACGUGGAUUUACUGUGCGCGUGGCCGUCUGGAGCGCGAGGAGGAGUCCAUGCGGACCGGAGCGACGCAUCCAUGAAGCAGGACAUCAUGGCGGAGGGUCCCCGCUGCAAGAGGCGAAAGCAGGCCAACCCCCGGAGAAAGCACGCAGUGCAGAACUAUG